AUGGAUUCUGAAGACAGGGUGGAAAGCUGCUUUCUUGAGGACUCUGAGGACCUGCGGCGCAUGGAGAGAGACCUCUCGCGCGCGGUCGUGGUCACCAUUCUGGGGACUAGGCCGCCGGUGGAUCUCGCUGCGGCGGCGGAGGCCCUGCACGCAGAAUUUGGCAUUGGGCCAAAUGACAUGUCCAUUCGCCCCUUCUUUCCGGAGGAUUUCUUGGUUCUAUGUGAGCAUCAAAUUAUUUGGCAGCUGAUGGUGGAUAGGGGACGUGCUCCGGGGCGUGGCUUCACACUCUCGCUGCGGCCAUGGACGCGUCUAGCUCAAGGUACGGGCGCUGUGUUGCCUUUCCUCGUCCCGCUCCGGCUGGUGGGCGUGCCCGCGCAUGCUUGGACAAGGCGGACGGCGGAGGUGGUCCUGCGUGGCCUUGGUUUCGUGGUUCAGGUGGCGGAGAGGACGGCCAGGCGAUUCGACAUGGUUGGCUUUCAGGUCUGGCUCAAGACUGCGGAUCCCGACCGAAUCCCGCAGAGAAGAAUGCUCUUCAUCCAGGAGCCGGCUGGUAUUGUGGAGGGCGCGCCGGAAGCCCUGUGGUACCCUGUCCAAAUCUUCAAAAUGGCGCCGCCUGUCAGGGUUGGAUCCACGGCGACCGGGGCUCCGCCGCCACCUCCGCCACCACCACCGCCUCCGUCCGGUGAGGAUUCGUGUGAUCAGUUUGACAGCAGAGGGUAUGAUGCUAAUCGUGGGCAUGAUGCGCCGUUGAGCUCGGGUUUCAAUGGAGGCGAAUCACAUGGAUCUACGUCGGAGUCUUCGCCGGCGGCCACUUAG
rnacentral:rRNA from 1 species